GCGCGCUUCCUACAAGUCCGUCACGUCACCGAUGACGCACGCUCAGGAAUCUAUAGGCCUAUCAGGACUGUCUUGACGCCUGUCAGGAUUACCUGUCACAACUAACAUGGAUUCCGUAGUGGGUCUAGACAACUCAUCUGACGCAUACUCGGAGCCUGAAACAUUUUUGAAAGUAGAAGAGUCCGACCCGAUACUGGAAGACAGUGGUGGAGGCAUUAUGCCCUACAGAUAGGCUACGAGCCGUAUCUGGAUGAGAUGGAGCGACGAGGCUCCGAAAGUUCGGAUGGCGAAGCAGAAGGCGCUGUCGGUGGUGCUGCUGUGACAGACCGCGGGAUGCCAAGAGACGUUGGCAGGCUACAGCGCGUGGAAUGGUGUUUUUGUGGGAGGUGUGCGCCGAUGCAAACAGUAAAGGACUCUGUGUGCUGCCGUGAGCAGCCCAAAGUUUGCGCCAGGAGAGAAGAGGAGCGGGACACAUUCGCUGCGUAACAGAACAUUCUGGCUUUCAGCCCGUUUGUCUGAACGAGCACGUUCUCCGCACCGCAUAUUUCCACUACCGGCAAGACUACGGGGACGUAGAGGGAACGAGUGGAAGAGAUACACUGCAUAUAGACAAUUUCUUAGAUCUAGCUAUGACUACCUGGGAAUACACGCCAAGGUCCCCUUACCUUCCUUUGUGGUGUGGUCCAUCCGGAUAACUUUUCCCUCUACAGAUUACAGGGGGUUCCAGGACAACAGCCCGUGAUGUUGCUCAUGCACAAGUGUUGAUAAAUAAAUGACAAUGAAUGUCAAUACAUGUUACCUGUAGCUUCACAUGAAUUUGUCUUCAUUUUGCAACUCACAACAGCGUACAACAAAUAGCCCUAGGGGGCGCCAAAUACAACCUCACCAGUGGCGGUUUUAGAAAGUCUGAGGUCCUAGGCAAAGAACAGUUUCGAGACCCCACGCCCCUUGGCCUAGGUGACACCAAACAUACAACUUCAGCAGUGGCGGUUUUAGGAAGUCUGAGGUCCUGGGCAAAGACCACAUUUGAGGACCCCCCCCCCACACACACACACACACACACACACCACCACCACCACCAGCAG